rnacentral:rRNA from 1 species
GACGAACGCUGGCGGCGUGCUUAACACAUGCAAGUCGAACGAAGAGCGAUGGAAGCUUGCUUCUAUCAAUCUUAGUGGCGAACGGGUGAGUAACGCGUAAUCAACCUGCCCUUCAGAGGGGGACAACAGUUGGAAACGACUGCUAAUACCGCAUACGAUCUAAUCUCGGCAUCGAGGAUAGAUGAAAGGUGGCCUCUACAUGUAAGCUAUCACUGAAGGAGGGGAUUGCGUCGGAUUAGCUAGUUGGGGGGGUAACGGCCCACCAAGGCGAUGAUCAGUAGCCGGUCUGAGAGGAGGAACGGCCACACUGGGACUGAGACACGGCCCAGACUCCUACGGGAGGCAGCAGUGGGGAAUCUUCCGCAAUGGACGAAAGUCUGACGGAGCAACGCCGCGUGAGUGAUGACGGCCUUCGGGUUGUAAAGCUCUGUUAAUCGGGACGAAAGGCCUUCUUGCGAAUAGUGAGAAGGAUUGACGGUACCGGAAUAGAAAGCCACGGCUAACUACGUG